UACGAAGGGGACUAGCGUUGUUCGGAAUCACUGGGCGUAAAGCGCGCGUAGGCGGAUUUGUAAGUCAGGGGUGAAAUCCCGGGGCUCAACCUCGGAACUGCCUUUGAUACUGCGGAUCUCGAGUCCGAUAGAGGUGGGUGGAAUUCCUAGUGUAGAGGUGAAAUUCGUAGAUAUUAGGAAGAACACCAGUGGCGAAGGCGGCUCACUGGCCCGGUACUGACGCUGAGGCGCGAAAGCGUGGGGAGCAAACAGG
rnacentral:rRNA from 1 species